AGGACAGUUGCAUAUUUUAGUAUGUAGGUCUAACUGACUAAAUAUUUAAAACGUUUACAGGCAGUUCCUUCAGGAAAAAUUGCUUCCCCUGUCUCCAGAAAGGAGCCUCCGUUAACUCCUGUUCCUCUUAAACGUGCUGAAUUUGCUGGCAAACCUGUACAGGUCGAGAGUACAGAAGAAGAGCAGGAGUCAGGGGCAAUGGAGUUUGAAGAUGGUGACUUUGAUGAGCCCAUGGAAACUGAAGAGGUGGACCUGGAGCCUAUGGCUGCCAAGGCUUGGGACCAAGAGAGUGAGCCUGCAGAGGAAGUGAAACAAGAGGCGGAUUCUGGGAAAGGGACCAUGUCCUACUUAGGAAGUUUUCUCCCAGAUGUCUCUUGUUGGGACGUUGAUCAAGAAGGUGAUAGCAGUUUCUCAGUGCAAGAAGUUCAAGUGGAUUCCAGUCAACUCCCAUUGGUAAAAGGGGCAGAUGAGGAACAAGUAUUCCACUUUUAUUGGUUGGAUGCUUAUGAAGAUCAGUACAACCAACCAGGUGUGGUAUUUCUGUUUGGCAAAGUUUGGAUUGAGUCAGCUGAGACCCAUGUGAGCUGUUGUGUCAUGGUGAAAAAUAUUGAGCGAACGCUUUACUUCCUUCCCCGUGAAAUGAAAAUUGAUCUAAAUACGGGGAAAGAAACAGGAACUCCAGUUUCAAUGAAGGAUGUUUAUGAGGAAUUUGAUGAGAAAAUAGCAACAAAAUAUAAAAUUAUGAAGUUCAAGUCUAAGGUUUGUAUUUGGGGAUGUUUUUUUCCAGCUCUGUUUGUUGUUUAUUUUCGGAUUUAGCAAAUAGUUAUU
rnacentral:lncRNA from 1 species